rnacentral:lncRNA from 1 species
GUGCAGAUCAUUAAGUAUGUGGUAGUGGGAACCGGAGUUUUAGGUAAAACUUGCCUGCUGGUCAAUUACACACCAAUGUAUUUUGUGUAGAAUAUAUGUCCACUGUUUCUGAAAACUCUUCUUUCCAUAUUAUGAUAGAUAGAAAACUGGUGAAUCUGGGUUUAUGGGAUACAGCUAAUUUAGAAGACCAUCACAGAUUAUGUCUCCUAUUCUAUCCUCAAACAGAUUUUCUUUUUCUUUAUGAGUCCUGCAUUAUUUGAAAAUGUCUGUGCUAAGUGGUAUCCUGAAGUGUGACACCAUUGUCCCAACACUCCCAUUAACCUAUUGUGAACCAAAUGAUCUUAGAGAUGAUAAAGGCAUAUUAAGAAACUAGAGGUGAAGAAGCUGGCUCCUAUCACCUGUCCACAGGGAUUAGCCUUGACUAAGGAGAUGAGAACUGUAAAAAACCUAUAGUGCUUGAGCUGUGAGGACUCAAGACAGUGUUUAAUGAAGUUAUCCCAUCAGCUGUCUGCCCACUCCAUAAAGAA